CAAAUUCAACUCUAUAAUAGAGUUACUCUAUUUUAGUGUAAAUUAUAGAGGAAAAAAUAGAGUCCCCUUGGAGAUGCUCUUAUCUCUUCUCAUGUGUUUUCUUUCUUGGUGCUCUAAGCACUCGCCUCCGCGGUUCAGAUCUGAUUCGGAAAAGCACAAAGUUAGGGUCGGUAAGGGGUUCUUGUGGGUCAAGUAAGGAGACGUAGGUCACAAUCAGGUGUCAAAUUUAGUUAUUGGAAAAAAAAUUUCUUUUAUUGUGUUUUCGGUGCUCCUCCUUCUCGGCUUAGGUGUACAGUCAUACAUGGUUUGACCGUGCAUCGGUGUUCUUCAAACAGUGGGGAUGCAGUUUAUUUUUUCUUGUUCGUCAUUGAUAGCGUGUCUCUUACGAUUUGUCGAUUUUGUUUCCGGGGAACCUCCAUAGAUGUUUUCGUUUCAAAAUUUGGAAGAUCUAUUGUGGGUUCUCCGUUGCAUGGCGUGAGCGGAGUGGUGCUGGUCUUGAAAGUCGCUCCUCUCUUUUCUAGUGGUAGCGCAUGCCGGGCAAACUUGUUUCAGAGACGAAAUCUAGGACUGCUCUGGACUGUUCUUCUUUAGAUGGUAUUGUCUAGCUUUUCUUCUUAUGUGUAGGUUUGAAGGCGAAUAGCGACUCUUGAAAGUUUAUCUUACUGAAUAAAGCUUGGUCUUUGUUUUAAGAAGAUUUUCAUAAGUUGUUCUUGUUGUACACAAUCAUUAAAAACAUAUCAUCGGACAAGCCAAUUCUACCGAGUUUUGUCUCUCGUUAUUACUACGGGUCUUUUUUGUGGCAAACGUUUAGUUCAAUUAUGUUGUAUUUUCAUAAACUUUUUGCCAGGUGUGUCCAUCCCUUUUUAUUUAGAUUUGAAUUCUGUUUGUUCUAAUUUUGCAUUCUGUUUUUUUUUUUUGUAUUUCGUAAAAAUUGGUAAUAUAGCAUGUUUACCCAAAAAAAAAAGAUUUGAGAUAUUCACACUCGUUUUCAAAGAUCGGAGAUGUGAUAAUUUGUGAAAACAUGGAAUAAAGGAACAAUAAAGAAAUUGACCACAAAAAAAAGGAACAAUAAAGAAAUGAUAAAUAUACCGACAUGCAUAGCAAUUAUAAAUGAGGAUGUUGGAGGGUUGGAGAGAGGAAGAAUGACACGUGGGUAGAGUGGUAGGGUAGAGAGGGUAAUAGAGUGCGAAUAAUGAAGAAUGAUGAGAGAUUGAGAGGCUUUACUUUGUUGCAUUUCAAAUUUAAUCCUCAAUUUUAUCUUGUUCUCUCAUCAUAUUUGUCUAUAAUGCUAUAUGUUUUCUGAAUGGUUGUAAACUGAAUUAUUCAUUGCGUUUUCUAACACUAUCUUAUUGAUUUCGUUUUCUAACACUACCUUAUGCUUUUGCAAACGAACCCUAUUGUCCAUUUAACAUACAAAAAAGAAUCCUCUCUUGACAAAAAAAAAUCAAACUCUUCGUGUCAAGGUGAAGAGGUCAGUUGGUCAUAGCCACUAGACUACGGCAAACUUAAAGAUUCUUCGACUUGUUGCUAUUUUUGUCUUUAUAAUAGUAUUUAAAAUCAAAAUUACUUUAGCAUAUCUCUUACUUUAAAAUAUGAACUACUAUUUUUCUCUAUAUUUAAAUAAUAAUUUCUAUUUUAAUAUAUAUUUUUAAGUAAUACUAUUUAAAAAUACAUUGAGAUAUAUUUCAUUUCUAUUUUAAAGUUCUUAUGUUUUAAAGGAAAAGUAGCAAAAUAGAGAUAGUCUCAAUUUAGUCGUAUGAUCUUGAGAUAAUGUAAUUUGAAGUUCUAAAAGCACAUAGAGUCUACUUUUGCUUUAAAAGAAGGAAAGACAACCAUUACUUCAAAAUGACUCACUGCAGCAACAGUUCACGUUUUUCUAUUACUCAGUUCUCUUGUGAUUGAUUUUUGUAAAGAAUUCUGGUAUUAUUAACUCCACUUUUAUUUUCUUUCCCUGGUUGCUGCCAUGUCAGUAAGUGUCCCAAUUUCUUACAGGAGCGAGAAAUGACUAAAUGAGGAGUCAGCAUGUCAAGAUUCUCCAAUGGAUUCCAUUUUCCCCUAAUCUCCAUAAAAUUUAUAUAUAGAAAUUACAAACAAUGACGUAACCAAAUGGGCUUACAACUUACAAGUACCUAACCAAGGAUCUAAAGAUUGGAUGGAAUGUAUAAGCAUAUGAUGUGAGACCAUCUUUAUCCCUGAUCCUUAAUAAGGUUUCUAAGCAAAAUAAGUGAUUUAAUUAAAUCAAAAGAAAAGAAAAGAGGUAUAACCGAUCCUUAAAUAAGGAGUUUGGUGACCGCUUUUAAGAGAGGUUUUAAGUCCACGUGUCAGAAAAUUAGGGAAAGGCUUUUUUUCCUUCUAUUUGUCUCUUUUUUUUCUGACUUUGUCUAGUCUUUCUCGUGUUCUCCGUCUGAGAGAAAGGGUCGAAACCGACGAAACCCACCACCGAUCGAAACCCCAAACACUCUUCUCCACCACCGAUCCUCCACCACCGAUCCUCCGUCUUUGAUAUUUUUGUUGAAAGAUACAAAGGCAAAGACAUCUCUGUUGUUGCAGGUGUUGAAGGAAGAGGUUUCAUUUUUGGUCCUCCUAUUGCGAUGGCUAUUGGUGCCAAAUUUGUUCCCAUGAGGAAGCCCAAGAAGCUACCUGAUGGCUAGGACUCAGAAGAACAAAGCAACCGCUCAUCAUCUGGAUUUGUUAAAGGUAAACUCUUCUCCUCCCAAGCUAUUUCAUUUUUCCAGUUUUGUGUAGCUUAGAGUGAGGUUUGUUGUUUAUAUAUGGCAUAGUCUCUUGUAAAGUUUCUUACUUGGAUGAAUAAGUUUUGUUGUUAAUACCAAAUAGCACAGUGUAAAACAUUGCAUGGACCUUAAGAAAUAAAACAGAGGUGCUGCAGCACAUGAGACUUAUGGCAUUUUUUGUUUGUUUGUCCCCAGUGUUGUAUGUCGCCACUAUUACAGAAUCAGCUAGCAGAGUUAACAAAUCAGAAGCAGCAGCAACAAGUGGCAACUGGUGGAGAUAAAAAGAGAAGAAAACUUGUGGUGGUUUCCCAGAAUUGCAUCGAACCGCUUCAAGCACUUUGUCAUGGUAGUAAAGAGGUGAUGAGCAUGAAAGGUCAGAGUGCAGAUAAGAGGCGCGAUAUAGCGACCUUGAGGAAGAAAAGAAAGGAAGAGAAGAUAGGUGUGUGAUAUAACUUGCUUUUCUUUUUAUAUGUAGUGUUUGUGCCCAUUGAAAUGACUUUUUUGGUAAACCGUGGACUUGCAAGAUGUGCUCGGGAGGUUCAUGUUUGAUACAACAUUAUAGUUAGUUAUAGAAACCGAGGAUCGAAAGAGGCAAAAAAAAAAAAAAUUUAAGAAACCCAAAUUAAGAAACUACCAUUGUAGUUCAAAAAUUAGGUGAUUUU